GACGAACGCUGGCGGCGUGCUUAACACAUGCAAGUCGAGCGGUAAGGCCCUUUCGGGGGUACGACGAGCGGCGAACGGGUAGAGUAACACGUGGGUGACCUGCCCUCAGCUCUGGGAUAAAGCCCUGGGAAACCGGGUCUAAUACUGGAUAUGACUCCAUGACGCAUGUUGUGGGGUGGAAAGCCUUGUGCGGCUGAGGAU
rnacentral:rRNA from 1 species